UCCCCGCACAAGCGGCGGAGCGUGUGGUUUAAUUCGUUGCUACACGAAGAACCUUACCUGGGUUUGACAUAGCAGUGGUAGGGAAGCGAAAGCGGACCGACCUUCGGGAGCUGUUACAGGUGUUGCAUGGCUGUCGUCAGCUCGUGUCGUGAGAUGUUCGGUUAAGUCCGCUAACGAGCGCAACCCGCGUUGUGUGUUACAAGUGUCACACAAUACCGCCGGUAUUAAGUCGGAGGAAGGUGCGGAUGACGUCAAGUCAGCAUGAUCUUUAUAUCCAGGGCUACACACACGCUACAAUGGUCAGCACAAUAGGUUGCCAAGUCGUGAGACGGAGCCAAUCCUCCAAAGCUGGCCUCAGUUCAGAUUGUAGGCUGCAACCCGCCUGCAUGAAGUUGGAGUUGCUAGUAACCGCAGGUCAGCUAUACUGCGGUGAAUACGUUCCCGGGGAUU
rnacentral:rRNA from 1 species